ensembl:antisense
AGUCUGCACCCCCACCUGGCCUGGAAACCCAUUAUUAAGAAACCUCCCUGACAGUGUUUCCUCUUGUGUAAUCUUAGAUGGUCCACCUGCUUGUGACUUUCCAUCUCAUGAUGCUGUCUUACACACGUUGAUUGUGGUUUUUGAGUUCAAAACCUGCUCCCCCAGAAGAGUAAGGGUUGCAGUGGCAGCAGCUGCAUCUGUGUUGUAUCCCUGACUGCUCAGUUUGCUGUUCAAAUCAACAAAGUUUCUCUGGUUAAAGAACAACAACAACAACAACAACUUGGUGUGUUCCUGUUGUUGGAUUUUCACCAGACUCUCCGCACCAUCGCACACCAACAUUUUGGGGGUUUGUCCAGGAUCCAGAGCCCUGAUACAGAAGUGCAAUUUUUUGAAUUGGCAACUUCAGGGGAAACACUGGAGGCCUGGGAAUGCAUCUUCUGGGAAGCCAGGAAAUUGCUUCCUAGUGACAACAGUCACCCUUCAUAUGCCCAGAUUGGAACCCUAAUGAGGCAGCAGCCCAUGGUAACCUUGAAAGUGGAGGAAAAACCAAUGGACUUUCUGGUAGGCAUGGAAGCCAACUGAAGGAACCAAAGUGACUCCUAGCCACGAGAUGCAGCCUGGUGCUAAACAAUACCCCCAGUACAAGGAAAUGCCAUGUCAACCUCGAAAAAGAUGAUGUUACUCCAAUAUGCAGAUGACCUCAUCAGGGCAGCCAGCCAACAUGGACACGUGCACAAUGGCCACUCAAGAGCUCCUAGGACCUCUCCAAUGCCUGAGAUACUUGAUGGAUGUGCACCAAGAAGGCCCAACUCUGCAACCGGAAUGCCACAUACUUGGGAUUCCAUGAAGGGAGGAAGUCCUAGUUUAUGUCAUGUGAACAGGAAAUCUUGGGUUGGCGAGAUGGCUCAACGGCUAAGAACACUUAUUGCUCUUCUGAAGGCCCUGAGUUCAAAUCCCAGCAAUCACAUGGUGGCUCACAACCACCUAUAAUGAGAUCUGAUGCCCUCUUCUGGUGUGUCUGAACUCAGCUACAGGGUACUUAUGUUUAAUAAUAAAUAAAUCUUUGAGCCAGAGUGAGCAAGUUUGACCAGAGCGAGCGGGGCCGAGUGGAGCUAGUAAAGGUCCUAAAAUUUCAAUUCCGAACAACCACAUGAAGGCCCACAACCAUCUGUACAGCUACAGUGUACUCACAUAAAAUAAAGAAAUCUUUAAAAAAAAAAAAAGCAAUCUUGAGAAUUCCCAACCUAUCAACAAAAAGGCAAAUCAGGGAGUUUUGAGGGGUCAGCAGGAUACUGUAAGCUCUGGAUUCCUGGAUUGGCUGAAUUAGGCAGACCCUUUAUUUGAUGUCACCCUGAGGCCUAAUAAUACCUUUCAAUGGACUGAGGUUGAAGAUAAUGGCCUUCAAACAGAUUAAACAAGCCCUGCUUUCUGUGCUAGGUGUAUCACUUUCUGACAUUAGAAAGUUUUUACACUGGUUUGUGGAUGAGAGGAGGAGGACCCCUAAGAGGUUGUCACUCAAACACUUGGCCAUAGCAGUGCCAGGUGCCUACCUUUGAAAAGAAUUAGACCCUGUGGCUAUCAGCUGGCCUGCCUGCCUGAGAAUUAUUGCAGCCAUAGCCUUAUUGACAGAAGACUCAAAUAAAUUGACUUUUGGACAGAACUUGAUCACUACCACUCCUCCUGUGGGAAAGACCCCACUCAUGAGCCCCCUGUGACCACUGCAUGACUGGUGCACAGCAGACUCAGCAUCAGGCCCUCCUCUUGAACCAACCAAACAUAACUUCUGACCAGUGGGCUACCUUCAACCUUGCUGCUCUGUUGUCUGACGCCAAGGGGAGCCCCUCUAUGAUUGACACUAGCCCUCAAGCCUGCCAGAGAUCUGCUGAAUAUGGCAUUUAAGAUAUUUAUACUUACCGUGGCAGACAGAGGUCCAGGUCCUAGAAGUGACCCCCAACGUCUACGGGAAAAUAAUAAACAGAACCACAAACUCCCACUAAAGUGUAACCGACUGCUUCCUAUUUGGCCACAAGCUCAAGAAUUUGAAUUUCCUUCAGUCAUCUUCUAAGUAUAGACUUAAUGAUGCUUCUCAAUGGGCUGAAACAUCUCUGUUCAAUCUAUGUACCUGGCUCUCUGCAGAGGGAAAGAAAACGUUCAUGAUUUCUAACACAAAGCUAUAGUUUUUGCUAAGACUCAAAGGUGGGAGUCUACUCCUGCUCUUUUACAGACGCCUGUUCGCUACUUUUUCUACGAUGUAGAUUCCGGUAUGAUGGCAUUGCCAAUGUAUCUCCUUUUGGAAAGGAAAAAUUCAUGUAAGAUUCAGGGUGUCAAAGAAGUCAUAAAACUUGGACCCACCUGUCUCAGGUCAAAUGGAUCCCAGUUAUCUACAACCUGAGUCUCCUGAGAAUGGGGUUUGCCCUGGUCUUGGGAUGCCUCUCCUUCCCCAAUUUCAAGGCAAAUUUUAUGUCUUUCCUAGUCUAUGUUUGUCUCAGAAGAUUUUCACUUGCUCACAGACUCCAUCCCGGGUCACCUAUGCACUGCAAACUGCUGAACCCUAGACUUGCUGAAAGCUUAUAUAAACCAGCCCAACCUAUGUGAUUGUUCCCUGUCUCUUCAGCUUGGCCAGCUCAAGAUGCUUCUGAUAAAUGCCCCAUUGCUCAGCCCUUGGGAAGCCUUUCAGCCUGCCUGGGCCCUGGCAUCAGUAGCCUAACAUGAGCUGGAAGUACUUACAGAGGAGAAUGGCAUCCCUUGACCCUUGGUCCUCUCCCUGCAACACCCUGCCCCCUUACCCAACAGGCUGAAAUGGUAAGUUAAAAAAAAAUUAAAUAACUCCCUGACAUAGGGGACAAAAGUGCAAGCCAAUUGACACACCAGAAAAGUGGGCCCAGAUUGGUGAACAGGUAGAUUUAUUAAAUAAAACAGUUCUACUAUAUUAUAGGACACUUGACCUGUUUCAUGCAGGAAAAGAGAUACCAUAUGGCUUUUAAAAAGUUGUUUCUGUACAAGACAUUAGGAAUUGUACUUUGACUGUACUCAAGAAACAAUAUAAAAAAAGAGACUUGAGAUAAAGUAAAUGGGGCUGGAGAGAUGGCUCAGCCGUGAAAGGCUAGGCUCACAACCAAAAAUAUAAGAGAUAAAGUAGAUGACUGGUAGCCUGUCCUUCUAGACAGUAACUCUGAUGUCAGCGAUCACAGGGCCUUUGGCCCUCCUGCUUGUACUAGUUUACAACGACUGAUACAAUAAUUAAAUGAUAAUUCCUUUCUGGAUACCAGUAAGCUGAUGAUUAUUAGAUGGGAGAAUAAACCAAUACCCAAAAUAGAGUUGAGGAUUUGACCUGAGACACAACCGAAGGAGGGAAUGUAAUCUCCAAAAUUUACCUGAAAGCCCUACCUGCCCGACGACCAGGUAAGGAGAGGCUGGAGGUGCUGGGGGUUGUAGAACUUGGGAAUAUAACAAAAGCCUCAUGUGAAAGUACGGCGGCCUAUGAAUUUGCCUUCAUUUACCCCUGCAACUCUCCAUCUAUAUGGUGGUAGACUUCCCUUUUUCCCAUCUGAGAGCCUAGGUCCGAUCAAUCCCUUCUGCUGUCUGGGCUGACAUACCUGGCUUGGGCCCAGAAUGUUCCUCCUAACUACUCGAGCUCCCCUGUACCGGGGUUCACCUUUCUUCUCAUGACACUCAAAAGUGAGCACACAAGGGUUGUCGUCUGACCAGGGGGUAGCAGAAUGGGUGGCAGUGGGUUUCUCAAACUGGACCAGGAAGAGGGUCUGGUACCAGGUCAUGAAGUCAUUAGACAGCUGGCAUUUUGGUGUUCCCCUAGUAGGGCCUUAACGGUGUAGGUGCAGUGACUGUAAGAUCUUGAUCCAGAGUUAACUUGUUUGCUUUUUGUCGUUAGACAAGCAGUAGCUAGCUCAGCCCUUAGACAGGGGGGCCAUCCUGUGCCUAUAGGGACCAAUCAGGUCAGGUACCUCACAGGGCAUUUCCAUAGCUCCAAAGGUUGAGUUAAAACUCCUUUUGUAAUGUUUCUUUGUCUCAUGGACAAACAGAUGACAAGUUUUUGAUACAUCUGGAAGUGUUAGUACUGGAGGCCAAGUCAGAGCUUUUUUAAAAACCUGAAAUGUGUUUUAUUUCAUCUCAGUUCAGAAUAGGCACUUAGUAUCCUGUGAAUGGUAUCUUUAAAUGUUUAAUAACUCUAUUAGUUAUUAAUAUGUCCCAGUCAGCCCCCUAGUAAUCAAGGCAGAGUUCUGCUGGUUGCUUUUUAAUCAGUGCUCUUAACUGCUGAGCCAUGUUUCUGGCCCCUGUAGUCACUUUUAUUUAUCUCUAAUUUGGGGAGCAAGGUUAAACAGCAAAGGCUGGUGUAUGGAAGAAUCUUCUCAUUUGGGGCAACUAGAAAUUGGGGUUCAGAAUUUAGCACUUGUAUACACAGCACCAAAAUCUCCUCCUGGCCGAGAAAACCUCUCCACAGAGGAGGAAGAGAAAGAACACCAAUUUGCUUAGUGAACUCUGGUGUGCACCCUGAGAGAGGGCAAAGACGGAAGGAAGUCUUGCCCUUCCAGAAAAGGCUCGGCUCAUCACAUACAUGCUCUCAAAGCGGGCAGCCAAGACCCUUUUCAGACCAGGAUGGCCUCCAGAACGGAGAAGAUGUGGGGUAGUAUGAUGGCUUUCGCCUGUAACCCUAGCGCUCUGGAGUCAG